GAGACUCUGUGCGCGUGCAUAUCAAUAAGCGGAGGAAAAGAAACUAACAAGGAUUCCCUUAGCUAACGGCGAGUGAAGCGGGAAGAGCUCAAAUUUGAAAUCUUCAAGGUUCUACCUUGACGAAUUGUAGUUUAAAGAAGUGUUUUCUGUUAGAUGAGUAGCAAAAGUUCCUUGGAAUGGGACAUCAUAGAGGGUGAGAAUCCCGUAUUUGGUUAUUCAUUCUAGCUUUGUGAUACACUUUCAAAGAGUCGGAUUGUUUGGGAAUGCAGUCCAAAAUGGGUGGUAAAUUUCAUCUAAAGCUAAAUAUUGGCGAGAGACCGAUAGCGAACAAGUACUGUGAGGGAAAGAUGAAAAGAACUUUGAAAAGAGAGUUAAACAGUACGUGAAAUUGUCAAAAGGGAAGCGUUUGACACCAGUGUUGUUUUCUCGAAAAUCAAUUACGAAUGUUUUAUUUUUGAGGAGUUAUGACUUCAUCGGCUUGCUCCUUUCUUUAUGAAACUUUCUUAAUGCACUUUUCGGUUAACAAGUCAACAUCAAUUUCUUUUGUUGUAAAAGGGUAUGAGGAGGGUGGCUUUCUUUUCGGAGAAAGUGUUUAUAGCCUUGUACCUCUGCAAUCGGAGAGAUUGAGGUCUGCAGCGUAGAUCCUUCGGGGUUAGAUACAUUUGUGCUAAGUUGUAGCUUUUCAUAGACAACUUGUUGACUAUGUUUAGUCAUGCGGCUUACUCGCUUAUGCUAUUUUACCUACGCUUAGGAUGUUGACUGAUAUGUAGUCGUA
rnacentral:rRNA from 1 species